rnacentral:tRNA from 1 species
GCAAGAUAGUAGUUUAAUCAAAAUAUUGGCAUUGGAAGCUAAAGAUUAGGUCUAUAGUCCUACUUCUUGA